GGUGUGUAUAAAUAAUGGAAACACAUAUUUUUGAAAUAAAAUAUUGAUUCUAAAGACUAUCCUCAUUAUAAUUUUUUAACAACUGACAAAGAAUUUGUCUAUGGGACUCCAAUUUACAAAGUAGAAUUAAUUUUCCAUGACUUACACAAAUGGGACAGAAGCAAAUACAUGAGCUUUUUGCCUCUUUGUGCAUUUUUUAAUUUGGAAACUAGUGAGUAAUUGUAGGGUCUGUCUCUGUGCCACAAAGAGACUCCUUUAUGCCUCAUUUCAGUCAAAUAACCCAUCAGCUGGAUAUCAGGUGAUAUCAAGCAUUCCAUAAAAUAUUUGACUGCUCUACUCCAUGGAUGACAUAAAAGGUUUGAGAAAUUCUAAUGCAAAUCCACUCCCCAGCAGAGCCACUCGAGAGCACCUGCUCGCCACUCUUGUCCUCAUGAUGUCAUCGCGACCUUCCACACUGAGCACACAUCCCAGGCUGCCAGGACCUCUCGGUUGUUUUUCUGAGUUCUGCAUGAUCUGCGCACUCAAGAUUUUGGACCUGAGAUUGCCAUAGCACUUCUAGCGUGAUUAUUGUUGUCUGCACACCUGAGUUGGCAUAUGGCUGGGCUGCUUUACAGAUUCGGAAGUCACUAGCUCCCAAGAUCAUGUGAGUCAAUUCCUUGAGACACACACACACACACACACACACAAUCAUGGGAGUCUAACGGGGCCAUGGACCUUUAGAAACUUGAAGAGAUAAGUAUUCUGAAGAGAAAAAAGAAAGAAACGGAAGCCUUUGCCUAGGUCUCCCAUGCGAGAACACCUCUUCAGCAACCACAUCCAGGAGGCAGGGCACUGUGGGAGCCGGAGUGUCGGUUCUGUUGGAGACCACUUUUCUGAACAAAUGGUUGGUUUCACUGGAGCCCUUGCCACUGGCUAAUGGCCCGAGCAGCUCGAAGGACUUCAUUGGAACUCAUUUAUAUUCAAGAUCAUGCAAGCUCCCAGUGUUCUCCAAAGCUGUCUUCAGGCUUUCAGUCAUGUUCCAGGGAGAGAUAUAAGCCCAAUCACCUUGAGUUGGCACAAACGUUAUUGCCAGAGCUGGGCUGGGGUUGAAGCCAGGAACAAG
rnacentral:lncRNA from 1 species